GACACGCGGAAUACGGUUGCUCGCUUC
rnacentral:piRNA from 1 species